rnacentral:rRNA from 1 species
UACGAAAGGUGCGAGCGUUAAUCGGAAUUACUGGGCGUAAAGCGUGCGUAGGCGGCUAUUUAAGUCGGAUGUGAAAGCCCCGGGCUCAACCUGGGAGGUGCAUCCGAUACUGGGUAGCUAGAGUGUAGUAGAGGGAGGUGGAAUUUCCGGUGUAGCGGUGAAAUGCGUAGAUGUCGGGAGGAACACCAGUGGCGAAAGCGGCUCACUAGACCAUAACUGACGCUGAUGCACGAAAGCUAGGGGAGCAAACAGG